rnacentral:rRNA from 1 species
GACGAACGCUGGCGGCGUGCUUAACACAUGCAAGUCGAACGGACAGGCCCUGCUUUUGUGGGGUGCUCGUGUGGCGCACGGGUGAGUAACACGUGUGUAACCUGCCCUUGACUUUGUGAUAUCUUCUGGAAACUGGGGCUCUUACCGCAUAGGAGCUCCUGCUGCAUGGUGGGGGUUGGUAAGUUUCGGCGGUUGGGGAUGGACGGGCGGGUUAUCCGCUUGUUGGUGGGGUAGUGGCUUACCAAGGUUUUGACGGGUAGCCGGCCUGAGAGGGUGACCAGCGACAAUGGGACUGAGAGACGGCGCAGAAGGCUACGGGAGGCAGCAGUGGGGAAUAUUGCAGAAUGGGCGGAAGCGAGAGGCAGCAACGCCGCGAGCGGAAAGACGGCCUUCGGGGGGAAAACCGCUUUGGACGGAGACGAAGCGUGAGUGACGGUAAUGGGUAAAGAAGCACCGGCUAACUACGUG